rnacentral:rRNA from 1 species
AUUGAACGCUGGCGGCAGGCCUAACACAUGCAAGUCGAGCGGAUGAAGGGAGCUUGCUCCUGGAUUCAGCGGCGGACGGGUGAGUAAUGCCUAGGAAUCUGCCUGGUAGUGGGGGAUAACGUCCGGAAACGGGCGCUAAUACCGCAUACGUCCUGAGGGAGAAAGGGGGGGAUCUUCGAACCUCACGCUAUCAGAUGAGCCUAGGUCGGAUUAGCUAGUUGGUGGGGUAAAGGCCUACCAAGGCGACGAUCCGUAACGGGACUGAGAGGAUGAUCAGUCACACUGGAACGGAGACACGGUCCAGACUCCUACGGGAGGCAGCAGUGGGGAAUAUUGGACAAUGGGCGAAAGCCUGAUACAGCCAGGCCGCGUGUGUGAAGAAGGUCUUCGGAUUGUAAAGCACUUUAAGUUGGGAGGAAGGGCAGUAAGUUAAUACCUUGCUGUUUUGACGUUACCAACAGAAUAAGCACCGGCUAACUUCGUG